rnacentral:misc_RNA from 1 species
GUUAGUGUCUGUCAGUUCUAUCACUGUCAGUGAAUGUCACGUCGACUGGUUCGUUUACCAAUACACCUGCUGAUACGACUGCGUGCGACUGUAGACAUAGGAAAACCAAAAAUAAACAGCAUAUUUUCUUUAAAUAACGAUCAGUGUUACUUCAAGUUUAUCUCCUGUGUGAGAUCGUCCGCCGUCAAGAUCUCGUCUUUACAAGAAUUACUUUUGAGCCUGAUGGAUGGCAAUGAAAGCGAUGGCAGUGAUAGUGGGUCUGAGGAGCUACCAACUCAAAACCGUGACGAUCACGGCGAAGCGGACGAUCCUGACGAGGACGGCAGCGAGGCUUCGCCGGUGCACAUGCCGGCGACGCUCCGACAAGUCUACUACGACAGUGAAGCAGAGUCCGUUGAUGUAGAGGCCAUUGAAGUAGAGGAGCCCUACGAUAUAUCUAUAGCCGCUUCACACUCGUACCUGGGCGCGGGGCUGGAGCAGGCGCGCGGGCGGCGCGUGCUGGAGGCGGGCUGGCGCGGCCGCGUGCCCGUGGCGGCGCACCACGGCGUGGUGUUCCCGGGCGAGGUGGUGCCCAUGCUGCUGCCGCACGCCGCCGACGCCGCGCUCAUCGUGGACGCCAUCAACACGCACAAGCUGUUCGGCCUGCUCUGUCCCAGUGAGACCGGCGACAAGCUGUCGGGCUACGGCGUGCUGUGCGAGGUGAUGAUGUUCGGCAUCGAGCACAUGCUGGCGCAGCCCACGUCGGUGACGUUCAAGGCGCGCGCCAUCCACCGCUUCGUGCUGGAGCGCGGGCCGCGGGCGGCGCUGGCGUACCGCCGCAUGCGCGCGGCCGAGCUGCGCGUGCUGCCCGAGCUGGCGGCGCGGGACGGGCUGCGCGCGGCGCGGCUGGCGUCGCUGGACGCGCUGCGCUCGCCGCUGCCCCUCGCGCCGGGGCAGCGCCGCCUGCGCGCGCUGGACGCCGCCGCCACGCCGUGGCCGCUCUUCGUGCACGACAUCCUGGACUUCGAGCGCAUGCGUCGCUUCAUCUGCGACUACUUCGACACCAUGUCGUUGGGGGACCGGCUGCCGGAGGAGCCGGUGUCGCUGUCGUUCUGGGUGGCGAGCAACCUGCCGCUGUCGCUGGCGGACCGGCUGGCGCUGUUCGCCGUCGACAACGCGCUGCUGCGCCUGCACAUGGAGUGCCACUUCAUCAGCCGGGUCAAUAAAAGCGUGUUGUGCUGCUCGUCGUGCAUGACGCAGAUCGCGCGCAGAGAACAUUUAUUUGCCAUGUCCAGCGAGGGAGUGCACUCCAAUUAUACUAAUCUAGGCGGCUACAUGCACGACCUGCUGACAGUCCGCGAGGUGAGCAACGUGCGAGCAGCCGGCCCCAGCAGCGAGGAGUACUCGUGGUUCCCGGGCUACUCCUGGACAGUCGCGCACUGCCGCCUCUGCGCCGCGCACGUCGGCUGGCGGUGAGUACACGCGGCGCUACAGUCGCGCACUGCCGCCUCUGCGCCGCGCACGUCGGCUGGCGGUUCGACGCGACCAAGGGACGCCUGCGGCCGCUCACCUUCUACGGCAUCUGCCGCAACUACGUCACGCCGCACACAGACGACAGCGCGCAACAUCUGUGAACCACAUCGUGUUCAGCAGAGGUCAAGACUAACGAGUUUACCAUCGGAAGGAGCUGCCGACUGAUGUCAUCACCUUUACCCUCCACAUCUGAAAUUAUGCAAUUAGCAUUCUGCAUAUUCGUGCUGGAGUCUACAAAGUCACUUGUUCUUUGUGUCUUCAGAGUACAAUUUCUUUAUAUUAACGAUGACGUAAUUCGGCCAGUUGAUGACCGGCCUUGUGCUACAGUGAGGGUAGUGGUGGCCGCUGUACACGCGUGUCGGCCUGUCCCCGCCACCCUUGCUUGUUCCUCCUACGUCAUACAUGUAACAGUGUACCUAGUACACACUAGGAUUUAUAUUAGCAGUUUAAUUUCAAACUGUCAUGCUAAUCAUUGUAAAGUCUUCAUGAAAUCUGUACCUAUAAUUAGUACCUUAAUCAUUUUUUAUAUUGACUGUCAAAUAAGAUCUAAAUAUGAAAUGAUGAUUGGGAAUAAAUCAUCAUAAGUUAUGUAAAUAAAAGUCAUAUUUCUAGAUAAACUUUCGUUACCUUCUUAAUAGUAAGUAAAUAAAGUAUUUUAUGCAGUGCA